rnacentral:lncRNA from 1 species
AGCAGAAGAAAGUAGUCCUAUGAGAUUUAAGAGACUGAGUCCUUAAGUCUAUAGCCAUAGCAGUGUGAUUGAUGGAAAAGAGUUUUCAUAGAAUCACAUAUGGACUUAAACUGAUUAAAUCUAUCAUAUGACCGACGUUGAGGUUUGAUGACUUAUCUAUGACCUGUCAUCUAGUCGGAACUCACGAUAGAGAGACUGAAUCAUAGGUUAACUAUACCUAGAGAGAGGUUCAUUUCAGUUUUACUAAGUUGCCACUAUAUACUGCUAGG